AAUUAAUAAAAUUGUAUUUAUUUAUAAAGUAAGAGGUUGAUCAAUUAAAUAAAUUUAUGUCAUUGUAUUUUUGAGAAAUAGGAUUGUUUGAACUAUAGUAAAUUAGUAUCGUGAGAGAAAUUUUAAGUUGAAGUAUAAUUUGUUAAAGGAAAUUUAUUUUAUUGUAUCUUGUGUAUCAGAGUAUAUUAAAUUGAAUUAUAUAUAUUAUUUUUCUCGAAUUUAAAAGAUUUAAUUAAAUAAGUUAGUUGUUGUAUCAUAAACAUUAAUAAUAUUUAAUUGGUAGUGAAAUGUUAAUCGUUUUUAAGGAUAUCUAGUUUUUUAAUAAAUGAAUUAAAUUCAGAAGAUAAUAUUUAUUUUAUAAAUAUUUAUUUAAAUAUUUGUUAUCUUAAAUUUCUGAAGGGAAAAUCUUUCAGAAAAAUUGUUUAUAAUAAAUUUGUGUAGGAGAAUUUUAUGAAUUUAGAAGUUGUUAUUAAUUAAAGGAUGUUAAAAUUUAUUUCUUUUUUUAGGAGAUUUUAUGAUUAUUUAAAGUGUUUAUUAAAAUGUUAAAGUUAAUUUUUAAGUUUUAGUAAGUAUGAUUUAAUUAGUAAAUGAAGAUGUAAAAUAUAAAGAAAAUGAUAUAUUAGUAUGAAGAAUUAGGCAAAAUUUUUGCUCGCCUGUUUAAUAAAAACAUGGUUUCUUGAUUUGUUUAGGAAAUUUGACCUGCCCACUGAAGGUAAUUUUAAAGGGCCGCAGUAUUUUGACUGUGCAAAGGUAGCAUAAUCAUUAGUCUUUUAAUUGAGGGCUGGAAUGAAUGGUUGGACGAGGCAAAUUCUGUUUUAUAUUAAUUAGAUUGAAUUUAGAUGUUAAGUAAAAAUACUUAAAUUUUAUUAAGGGACGAGAAGACCCUAUAGAGUUUAAUAUAUUAAGUUUUAAUUGAGUUUAUAAGUAAUUUUUGGUUAAUUAUAAUGUAUAUUUGAUUGGGGUGAUUAAAAGAUAAGUAAAACUCUUUUUUGGUAUAAAUAUUUUGGUAAAUUAAAAGAUCCAUUAUGUAAUGAUUAAAAGAUUAAAUUACCUUAGGGAUAACAGCGUAAUUCUCUUUGAGAGUUCAUAUCGAAAAGGGAGAUUGUGACCUCGAUGUUGGAUUAAGAUAAAUUUUAGGUGUAGAUGUUUAAAAAUUAGGUCUGUUCGACCUUUAAUUUCUUACAUGAUCUGAGUUUAAACCGGCGUGAGCCAGGUUGGUUUCUAUCUUUAAUAUAUUUUAUUGUCUUAGUACGAGAGGACCAGACAGUAAGAAUAAUUCUAUUAUUUUGGUUACUAUUAAUAUG
rnacentral:rRNA from 1 species